GUGCUAUUUAAAUAAUUAUGGCAAGGAUUUCAAUGGUGGACUCUUUCGUUUCUAGGAUGGCCAGUCAAUGUCAAUUAUGCCAAUGGCUGGAGUUGCAAAUUUUGGGCUAACUAAACUUAGGGAAGUUGGAAGCUCUUUAUCACUUCAUACUCGUCUUGUGGGAACAUUUGGAUACAUGCCUCCAGUUGGAUCAGAAUGCUUCAACCAACUAAAGGUUGUUACGGCCGCAGCACCAACAAUACUUCUGGC